AGACUGGGCGCCGACAGCAUCCUCCGGGGGUAGGCGCCCACAGUCAUUCUUUCCAUCGCUGCGGACACGGGAGUCAGAAGUGAAACAGUCCUGUCCUCGUGGGGCUUACGUUCCAGGCGCAAGAGCCACAGGUAGUCGAAUUGGGAAACCGCCUCGGAUGUCACAUAAGCGCCCAGGGAGGACAGGGCAGGACAGGGCCUCCCUGGGGAGGUGACUUGAGUCAAGACUCAAAAGAGGGAAGCGAGGGAACAAGCCAUGCGAGGAACUAACGAAGGAACAUUCCAGAAAGAUUUCACAUCCCAAGCCUAAGGUCCAGGGGCAGCAGGCAUUGAGGCGGAUGUGGCUGGAGUGGAGAGAAAGAGGAAUUAAAAGGAUGGAGUAAUGACAAUAAUGGCUCACAUUUUUUAGCAAGAGGUGGGUUCACUACCUAUCUGUCGUUAUCUGGGGGGAAAUUAGGCUCUGGGAGGUCAAAUAACUUGCCCAAGGUCACACAGCUUGUAAGUGGCCAGACCAGCAUUGGAACCCAAGGGGACGGAUGUCUGAAACACACCCAGGAGUCCCAAGGUGGGAUGACCUUGACCAAGACAGGCCCUUUACCCCUUGCCUCAGUUUCAUCCCAAAGAGCUGCCCAAACACAGCUUAAAAUCAGGGCACAGAGCAAGGGUGUAGCUGAGUGUGCGUAACAUCUGUUCUCCUGGGAGAUGCUUUUGUUGUCUGGGAAGCACUUGUCACCUCUCCAGGCUCUGGAGCAGGUACAAGUGGCUUCGGGGAGAAAGGGUGGGAGCCGGGAAGAGGCUGCUUCUGGUGGCAGGAGGAGAGAGGGAGUGGGUGAGGGGCCCCGGGCUGGCUGAGUGCUCUGGAGCAUGACAAAGGCAGUGUCAGCCAGGCAGCUGUGUCCGCCACUAGCAACCGCGCAGGCAGCAUCCCCCGCCAUCCCUCUGAGCCUGGAGAGAUUGAAACACACACAGUCAGCGUGCCUGCUGCCCAGGUGAGGUGCAGAAGGCCUGGGGGUUGCCAGUCUGGGCUCUGCCGCGAGAAAGUGGCUUUUCUGCAGCCGGAAGCGGGGAGGAAGUGUUUUCACCCUUCUACAAAGCUCUGUCUCUGCCUCUGGAUCCACGGUGCUGCAGGCCUGAGGGCUCUCAUGGGUACGGGCCUGGUGAGUAAUCUAGAAUUUGCCCCUUCCCCAGCCUGGUGCAGCCUCUAGUCUCGGCCUUCACGCUCUGCUGUAAAAUGAGGCUGGGUCAGGAGUGGGACCCAUCCUCCGUGUUUGAGGAGCUGGGCUAUUACAUGAGCCCCUACCUGAGGUCGCCAGCGAGUCAGAGGUCCUGGUGGGACCAGACCAAAAUGGAACCUACUAUCGGGCCCAUUUUGAGAGGGAGACAGAGAGAAGUUAAAAGUACAUGCACACACAGCUCUAAAGUAGCAGAGAUGGCAUUCAAGUCCAAAGCCUUUGACUCCAGGACGGGCACAGUGGCUCACACUUGUAAUUUCAGCACUUUGGGAGGCCGAGGUGGGAGGAUCUCCUAAGCCCAGGAGUUCAAGACCAGCAUGGGCAACAUGGUAAGACCCUAUCUCUAUUAGCGGGGCGUGAUGGCACAUGGCUGUAGUCCCAGCUACUCUGGAGGCUGAAGCAAGAGAAUCGCUUGAACUUGGAAGGCAGAUGUUGCAGUGAGCUGACAGAGCAAGAUUCCAUCUCAAAACGAACAAUCAAACACUAGUCUUGCCCGGCGAGGUGGCUCAGGCCUGUAAUGACCAGCCUGGCCAACAUGGUGAAACCCCUUCUCUACUAAAAAUACAAAAAUUUGCUGGGCAUGAUGGCAGGCGCCUGUAAUUCCAGCUACUUGGGAGGCUGAGGCAGGAGAAUCCCUUGAACCUGGUAGGUAGAAGUUGCAGUGAGCCGAGACCGUGCUAUUGCACUCCAGCCUGGGCAACAAGAGUGAAACUCCGUCCCCAAAAAGAAAAAAACACUAGCCUCAAGCCACAGCCAUGUCUCCAACCUUCCCGGCCAGGUUUCUCAAAAGAGGGGGCUACCUGAGGUCACCCACUCCUGCCGAACUCCAGGUGGGCUUCCUCAUCCCUUGCUCUAUCCUAAACUGUUCCUUAAGUGACAGUUCACACCCUGACGUCUUCCAAGCUGAGACCCCACCAGCAGCUAGCUUUUCCUUUGUGGUUCCACCCACCUCCUAAAUCCCUUUAGCAGCCGGGUGCGGUGGCUCGCGCCUGUAAUCCCAGCACUUUGGGAGGCCGAGGCGGGUGGAUCACGAGGUCAGGAGAUCGAGACCACGGUGAAACCCUGUCUCUACUAAAAAUACAAAAAAAUUAGCUGAACGUGGUGGCGGGCGCCUGUAGCCCCAGCUACUCGGGAGGCUGAGGCAGGAGAAUGGCAUGAACCCGGGAGGCAGAACUUGCAGUGAGCUGAGAUCGCACCACUGCACUCCAGCCUUGGCGACAGAGUGAGACUCCAGCUAAAAAAAAAAUCCCUCUAGGGUCCUGCGCCUCUGCCUGUAGCCCCUAAAACCGAAUACUCCUGAAAGUUUUAUCCUGGGAACCCCUUUCCUUGACACUUUAACUCCGUGGAAGAGGCAAAAGUGAGGGGAACCCCCAUCUCUACUUAAGAGUUCCCCACAUAUUUUUUAUUAUUAUUUUUUUCGUGACGGAAUUUCACUCUUUGUUUGCCCAGUCUGGAAUGCAAUGGCACAAUCUCAGCUCACUGCAACCUCUGCCUCCCGGGUUCAAGUGAUUCUUCCACCCUAGCCUCCCGAGAAGCUGGGAUCACAAGCGCCCACCACCACACCAAACUAAUUUUGUAUUUUUAGUUGAGACGAUUUCACCACGUUGCCCAGGCUGGUCUCGAACUCCUCAGAUGAUCGGCCCUCUGCCUCCCAAAGUGCUGGGAUUACAGGUGUGAGCUCCUGCGCCCGGCUCAGAGUUCCCCAUAUUUAUACUUGCCCUCCAGGGCACACUGGCCUCCAUUUUUAGGGACUUGCUUGGUAUCUGCCCUUGGGUAACCCACUGGAGCUUUCCAGUUGGACUCCUUGAUUGGAGGGGAAUCUGGCUACACCUGUCGCCCCAGGAUGGACCAGCAGGGCCCGUCUUGAGGCUGCACUCGAGGAUAGAGGAAAAAGUGUCAUCUUUAAGAGUCCCACCGAGUAGCCAGGUUUCCCUGCCGGAAAUUCCUGCCUUGUUUUCCUUUCCCUGGUAAAACUAGGAGAGCCACCUCAUUUUCCUGAGCCCUGAGCCCUGAGCGCCCGCCCCCACCCCCGUUGGUUCUAGCUACACAGGCUUUCGGCCUCAGGGUUGCUUUGCACCAUCCCCUUCCCCCGACCCAGGCAAGUUCGCUUCUGCUUCUCUCUUGCCCAGCCCUCAUUAGCAGGCUCUGACACUUCUCAGCCGCCUGUCCGCUUUGCAGAGAACUGACAUGUGAGCUGUGCCCAGGGACAUCUGCUGAAUGGGCGGGUCCCCUGCCGGACCAGUCCAUCUGUCCCUCACUCAGUGUUCCUUCUGAGCUGAAGCUGCCCAGCAUCCCCCAUCUGUGUGAGUAUUCACACAGCGCUGGCCAAAGCCCUGUCGGGAAUCACGUGAUUCAGAUCCUGGUUUUGCCCCUGUCAGCCUUAGGACAAGACAGAUUUCUUUUUCUUUGUUUCUCCUGAGAUAGGGUCUCACUCUGUCGCCCAGGCUGGAGUGCAGUGGUGUGAUCUCAGCUCAUUGCAGCCUCAGCCUUUGGGGUUAUAGCAAGCCUCCCACCUCAGCUUCCCAAGUAGCUAGGAUUAUAGGUGCACACCACCAUGCUCAGCUAUUUUUUUUUACAUUUAUAUUUAGUAAAGACAGGGUCUCACUGUGUUUCCCAGGCUGGUCUCAAACUCCUGGCCCCAAGUGAUCCUCCCGCCUUGGCCUCCCAAAGUGCUGGGAUUACAGGCAUGAGCCACCAUGCCCUGGCUACCCAACAGAUUUCUUUUCUUUUUUCCCCCCCAAGACGGAGUCUCACUCUGUCAUCCAGGCUGGAGUACAUUAGCGCAAUCUUGGGUCAUGGCAACCCCUGCCUCCUGGGUUAAAGCAGUUCUUCUGCCUCAACCUCCCGAGUAGGUGGGAUUACAGGCGCAUGCCACCACGCCCGGCUGGCUAAUUUUUUUGUAUUUUUAGUAGAGACGGGGGUUUCGCCAUGUUGGCCAGGCUGGUCUCAAACUCCUGACCUCGUGAUCCACCUGCCUCGGCCUCCCAAAGUGAUGGGAUUACAGGAAUAAGCCACCAUGCCCGUCCCACCCAACAGAUUUCUUGAGGUGAGUUUUGGUUUCCUGGCAUGGUAUUGGCUACAUGACCUCAUCUGUAAUGUCUUUGGCAAACAGAAUAACUUGUUUUGUAUUACUAUGUUUAAUCUUCAAAAUCACCCUAUUGAGUAGAUUGUCACAAUCAGGCCUGUUUUGUGGAUGAAGAGAGGGAGGCUUGGAGAAGCCGCGUGGUUCAUGCAAAAAUGCAAAGCUGCAAAGUAGUGGCGGUGGGGUUCAAGUCCUGACGCUUUCACCACUGAGCGCCUUGCCAUCCCCUGCUGCCAUCCUCUCUUGGUUCUGAUACUUCUUUUUUUUUUUUUUUUGAGAUGGAGUCUCACUCUGUCGCCCAGGCUGGAGUGCAAUGGUGUGAUCUCGGUUCACUGCAACCUCCACCUCCCACGUUCAAGCGAUUCUCCUGCCUCAGCCUCCGGAGUAGCUGGACUACAGGUGCCUGCCACCACGCCCGGCUAAUUUUUUUGUAUUUUUUUAGUAGAGACAGGGUUUCACCGUGUUAGCCAGGAUGGUCUCACUCUCCUGACCUCAUGAUCCACCUGCCUCGGCCUCCCAAACUGCUGGGAUUACAGGCAUGAGCCAUCACGCCUGGCCUUUAGGCCAGCUAAUUUUAAGGUGCUUCUCUGAGUAGUGUGAACUGGGGGUCAUGCGAAGGGGUCUCAGUGAAUCUGGGCAGAGUGUGGUGCUGCUGGGAGUCUGCAGCCCCUUUCAAACAGUCUGGUUCCUUGAAAGGUUAAACAUGGAGGCCGGGUACAGUGGCUCAGGCCUGUAAUCCCAGCACUUUAGGAAGCUGAGGCAGGCAGAUCACUUGAGGUCAGGAGUUGGAGACCAGCCUGGACAACAUGGCGAAACCCUGUCUUGAUGUAAAAAAAAAAAAAAAAAAAAUUAGCUGGGUGUGGUAGCAGGCACCUGUAGUCCCAGCUACUCAGGAGACUAAGGCAGGAGAAUCCUUUGAAUCUGGGAGGUGGAGGUUGCAGUGAGCUGAAAUCAGGCCACUGCACUCCAGCCAGGGUGACAGAGUGAGACUCCAUCUCAAAAAAAAAAAAAAAAUGUUAAACAUGGAGUGACCAUAUGACGCAGCAGUGCCCCUCCUAGGUAUAUAUCGUGUAUAUCUAAGAGGAAUGGGAACAUAUCUGCACAAAAAUUUGCAUGGGAAUGUUCAGAGCAGUGUUAUUCAUAAGAGCCAAAAAGUGAAAGCAACCAUGUGUCCCUCACCUGAUGAAUGGAUAAAUCAACUGUGGUCUCUCCAAACAGUGGAAUAUGAUUCAGCCAUAAAAAGGAACGAAGCAGCUGGGCGCAGUGGCUCACGCCUGUAGUCCCAGCACUUUGGGAGGCCGAGGCCAGUGGAUCACGAGGUCAGAAGAUCGAGACCAUCCUGGCUAACACGGUGAAACCCUGUCUCUAAAAAAAUUAGCCAGGCAUGUUGGCACAUGCCUGCAGACCCAGCUACUUGGGAGGCUAAGGCAGGAGAAUUGCUUGAACCUGGGAUGCGGAGGUUGCAAUGAGCCGAGAUCGUUCCACUGCACUCCAGCCUGGGAGAUAGAGUGAGACUCCGUCUCAAAACAAAACAAAACAAAACAAAAAAACGAAGCACCAAUACAUACUACAACAUGGAUGACCCUUGAAAGCAUUAUGCCCAGUGACAAGCCAGACACACAGGACGCAUGUUGUGUGUUUCUGUUCAUAUGAAAUUUCCAGAAUAGGCAAAUCCAUAGAGACUGGAAGUAGAUUAAGGGCCAGGGGCAGUGGCUUACGUCUACAGGCAUGAGCAGUUUGGAAAGCUGGGGCAGGAGGAUCACUUGAGACCAGGAGUUCAAGACCAGCAGUUCAAGACCAGCCUGGGCAACAGAGUGAGACCCCUAUCUCUAAAAAAAAAUAAAGUUAGCUGAGUGUGGUGGCGCCCACCUGUAGUCCCAGCUCCACGGGAGACUGAGAGGAGAGGACUGCUUGACCCUGAGAGGUAGAGGCUACAGUGAGCUAUGAUCAAACCACUGAACUCCAGCCUGGGCAACACAGUGAGACUCUGUCUCUAAAAAUAAAUAAAUAAAAAGAUAGGGUAGCUUAGGGGUUGCCUGGGGCCUGGGGUGGUGGUGAGCAUCGGGGAGUGACUGCUAAGUGGAGUUUCUUUUUGGGUUAAUGAAAAUAUUCCAAAAUUGGUCAGUUGCAGUGGCUCAUGCCUGUAAUCCAAGCACUUUUAGGAGGCCAAGGCACGUGGAUCACUUGAGGUUAGGGGUUCGAGACCAGCCUGGCCAACGUGAUGAAACUCCGUCUCUACUAAAAAUACAAAAAAAUCUAGCUGGGCCCGGUGGUGCUCACCUAUAGUCCCAGCUACUUGGGAGGCUGAGGCGGGAGAAUCGCUUGAACCCGGGAGACAGAGGUUGCAGUGAGCCGAGAUCAUGCCACUGCACUCCAGCCUGGGUGACAGAGUGAGACUCCGUCUUGAAAAAAAAAGAAAAAGAAAAUAUUCCAAAAUUGCAGUUAUAGAUGCACAGAUCUGUGGAUAUUUAAAAACAACUGAAUCAUCUACUGUGGUGUAAUUGUAAAGUGGUGAAUUAUAUGGAUUAUAUCUCAAUAAAGGUCUUUUUUUUUCUUUUUUUUUUUUUUUUUUUGAGACGGUAUCUUGCUCUGUCGCCCAGGCUGGAGUGCAGUGGCACAAUCUCGGCUCACUACAAGCUCCACCUCCCAGGUUGGUGGACAUUCUCCUGCCUCAGCCUCAGCCUCCCGAGUCGCUGGGACUACAGGUGCCUGCCACAAUGUCUGGCUAAUUUUUUGUAUUUUUAGUAGAGACGGGGUUUCACCGUGUUAGCCAGGAUGGUCUCGAUCUCCUGACCUCGUGAUGCGCCCACCUCGGCCUCCCAAAGUGCUGGGAUUACAGGUGUGAGCCACUGCACCCGGCCUCACCAAAGGUCUUAUUAAAAAAAUUAGCCAGAUUCCCUGCUUCAGUGAUAAAAAAAAAAAAAAAAAAGAGGGGCAGGAGAAGAGGACCCAAUAACUUCCUGAGUGACUGGGGAAAAUAUUUUUGGGUUAUAUUUCUGUAAUUCUCGUGAAGUGAUUACAGAAGUGACGGGAUAGAAGAGGUUUCUUUAAAAAAAAUUUUUUUUUUAAUUUAGUAGAGAUGGGAUCUUGCUAUAUUGCCCAGGCUGGUCUUGAACUCCUGGACUCAAGCAGUCCUCCUGCCUGGGCCUCCCGGAGCUCCCGGGUUACAGGUGUGCAAUCCCAUGACCAGCCGAUAGAGGACGUUUCUAUUCAUCCUUCAGACCUCAGCUUACAAGUUACCCCAAGAUAAGCCUCCCCCACCCCAUAACCCUCCCUCUGUCACUUUGUCACGUGUCUGAGCCCUUGUUUCUUCCUUUUUUUUUUUUGAAAUGAAGUCUUGUUCUGUCGCCAGGCUGGAGUGCAAUGGCGUGAUCUCGGCUCACUGCAAUCUCUGCCUCUUGGGUUCAAGCGAUUCUCCUGCCUCAGCCUCCCGAGUUGCUGGGAUUACAGGCACAUACCACCACACCCAGCUAAUUUUUGUAUUUUUAAUAGAGACGGGGUUUCACCAUGUUGGCCAGGGUGGUCUCCAUCUCCUGACCUCAUGAUCUGCCAGCCUUAGCCUCCCAAAGUGCUGGGAUUACAGGCGUGAGCCACCGCGCCAGGCCUGUUUCUUCCUUUUAUAGCUCUUCCCACACUUGGAAUUCUUUUCUGCCUCUGGACCUGAUUUUGUUGGGCUCUUGCCCAGCUGAGUUCCGUGAGGUUCGGGGCUUGUCUGUAUCUUGUCUGCCACAUCAUAGGUGCUCAGUGCACACCUGUUGAGUGGAUGCACCAUAGAUAUAUUGAUAACAGCUGUGAGCGGUUGGGAGCGAGUGAGCAGAGCAGGGCUGCUCAGGGUGUCUCCAGCCCUAGUGGCUUUCUCUCUGUUCCAGUUCCAGGAGAAAGUCUCUGGAAAGGAAGCCCGAAGUCGGGUCUGGCUGGGAAGAGGUGGGGGCUGGGGCGGGUGCCGGGUGCUGGGGCUGGGAGGAAGUCUGCAGCCAGGCUGCUGAGGGUGUGGCGUCUGUGUGUGCACCUUUGGAAUGUGGCUGAUUCACUCUGAGGGGAGCCAUAUGCUGCCGCCACCGCCUCGGAUCUGACAUCUGGAGGCUGAAUUCCAGGAGGAGAGAGACAGAUUCCUGCAAGCAGAUGCCAACUUUGAAGGUCAAAGGGAGCAAUGGAACUGCUUUGAGGGGGGUGAGAGGGUCCAACACUCCCUCCAGGGGCUGGGAGGGAGGUGAGGCCCCCUCCCCAGACUUGCCUGAGCCCCUGAUCUAUCAGAGCCUCUAUGCGGACAGCUGGGGCGCAAGGAAGAGAGCAUGAGCUUCAGCGUUCAGACCUGGAUUCAAAGACCAGUUUCUGGGCCAGGCACAACGGCUCAUGCCUGUAAUCCCAGCACUUUUGGAAGCUGAGGUGGGAGGAUCACUUGAACCUAGAAGUUUGAGACCAGCCUGGGCAACAUAGUGAGACCCCAUCUCUACAAAAAAAUAGAAAAAUUAGCCAGGUGUGGUGGUGCGGGCCUGUAGUCCCAGCUACUCCUGAGGCAGGAUUGCUUGAGCCCAGGAGGUGGAGGCUAUAGUGAGCCAAGAUUGCACCACUGCACUCCAGCCUGGGUGACAGAGCAAGACCCCCCCAUCUCAAAAACAAAUUAAAAAAUAAAUAAAUAAGUAAAUAAAUGAAAUAAAGACCAGUUCCUUGACAGCUCGUGUAACUGCAGAGGCCGAGGGUCUAGCUGGGUCCAGUGCUCACAGGAACACUGGCUUGCAUCUCCCAGCCAGGUUUCCUCCGUUUUCGCUUUGCUCUUGGGCCAGCGCUUCCUGAGAGGAGGCCCUGAUGUCACAGACCUGUGAACCUCCAGCUUGUGUCUACCACGGGUUCCAGCAGAAUCCUAGGUUUGCCUCUCUUUGGCUGGAGCUGGGUCCCAACCCAGCCCUGUAGCGAUCACCGUACUCCUGAUGGGACAGGCCUGGGUCAGGAGCCUGCCCAGCACAGGGCAAUACCCCUGUAGCCCCAUGGAGCAAAUGGAAAUGAGGGGGGCUGUCCCUUAAAAGAACCACACCGGCCAGGCGUGGUGGCUCACGCCUGGAAUCCCAGCACUUUGGGAGGCUGAGGUGGAAGGAUCGAUUGAUCCUGGGAGUUGGAGACCAGCGUGGGCAACAUAGCAAGACCCUGUCUCUACAAAAAAAAAUUUUUUUUGAGAUGGGAGUCUUGCUGUGUCGCCCAGGCUGGAGCACAGUGGCGUGAUCUCGGCUCACUGCAAGCUCUGCCUCCCAGGUUCAUGCCAUUCUCCUGCCUCAGCCUCCCAAGUAGCUGGGACUACAGGUGCCUGCCACACGCCCGGCUAAUUUUUUUGUAUUUUCAAAAAUUUUUUUUUAAAUUAGAUGAGCAUAGUGGUGUGUACCUGUGGUCCCAGCUACUUGGGAAACUGAGACGGGAAGAUGGCUUGAGCCCAGGAGGUUAAGGCUGCGGUGAGCCUUGAUCGCACCACUGCAUUCCAGCCUGGUCAACAGAGCAAGGCCCUAUCUCAAAAACAAAACAAAAAAACAUAAAUACAAGAGCGACCCCCCAGCUCUGCUAAGCUGCCUCCACCAUGCUGGCUGCCAGGCCCUGUGCUCAGCUUCAUGGGCUUUAGCGUCCCCAGGUGUCCCUUUGGUUGAGUCUCUCCCUUAAGCUCUCAGAUGCUCAUUUUCUUCAUCUCUGAAAUCUCCAAGCUUCUUUUCAGGAUUGGAUGAGACAAUCCUGGCAAAUCCCUUGGCACAGGCCUUGCCCCAAGGAGGCAGAUGAUAGCUCACGUCUAGUUCCUUUCUCAUCCUGACAUCUAGGUUCUCUGUGAUCUGCCUGUGGGCUCGAAGGAUGGUGUGCAUGUGUGUGUUUGCAUGUGUGUGCGUGGGUGUGCAUGAGUGUGUCUGCACGCAGCAGCAGCAGCCCCCUUUCUGUUCUCCUAGGAGUUUUGUAUUUGAUUUCUCCUCCAGAGUCUUGGGGGCUCCACAGGAGAGAUGGUGGAGGCGGGAGGAGCAAGAAAGGGGUGAGGUUAGAAGCCUGGUCCCAGCUGGGGCUGCAGCUGGGGGCCUGCAGGCUCUGGCCUGCCCUGGGAGGCCCUCCCUGUACCUGCAGCUGCAUCUGGGGCCGGAGGAGGGGCCAGGCGUCCUUCCGCUCCAGGAGCUGCUGCCUGUCCCCCUCCCAUGACACAUGAGGACUGUGUCUGGUCGAUUCACAUUGGAGGGUCCCUGAAUGAGCUUUGUCCAUUAGAGGACCUGUAUUCUUGUUCCUGGAACCUGGGAGUGGGUCAGAAGGGUGACUCACACCUGUAAUCCCAGCACUUUGGGAGGCCAAGGUGGGUGGAUUACCUGAGGUCAGGAGUUUGAGACCAGCCUGGCCAACAUGACGAAACCCCAUCUCUACUAAAAAUAUAAAAAUUAGCUUGGCAUGGUGGUGCGUGCCUGUAAUCCCAACCACUCGGGAGGCUGAGACAGGAGAACUGCUUAAACCUGGGAGGCAGAGGUUGCAGUGAGCCGAAAUUGCGCCAUUGCACUCCAGCCUGGGUGACAAGAGUGAGACUCUGUCUCAAAAAAUAAAAAUAGGCCGGGCGCAGUCGCUCACGCCUGUAAUCCCAGCACUUUGGGAGGCCGAGGCAGGCAAAUCACAAGGUUAGGAGAUCGAGAGCAUCCUGGCUAACACAGUGAAACCCCAUCUCUACUAAAAAUACAAAAAAUUAGCCAGGUGUGGUGGCGGGCGCCUGUAGUCCCAGCUACUCCAGAGGCUGAGGCAGGAGAAUGGCGUGAACCCAGGAGGCAGAGCUUGCAGUGAGCCAAGUUCGCGCCACUGCACUCCAGCCUGGGUGACAGAGAGAGACUCUGUCUAAAAUAAAUAAAUUAGUUAAUAAUAAUAAAAAUAAAAAAUAAAAUCAAGCUGGGAGCAGUGGCUCAUGCUUGUAAUCCCGGCACUUUGGGAGGCUGAGACCGGCAGAUCACCUGAGGUCAGGAGUUCGAGACCAACCUGGCCAACAUGGUGAACCCCGUCUCUACUAAAAAUACAAAAAUUUGGCCGGGCACAGUGGCUCACGCCUGUAAUCCUAGCACUUUGGGAGGCCAAGGCGGGCGGAUCAUGAGUUGAGGAGAUCGAGACCAUCCUGGCUAACACGGUGAAACCCCAGACCCCAUCUCUACUAAAAAAAUUAGCCGGGUGUGGUGGUGGGUGCCUGUAGUUUCAGCUACUCGGGAGGCUGAGCCAGGAGAAUCGCUUGAACCAGGGAGGUGGAGGUUGCAGUGAGCUGAGAUCGCACCACUGUACUCCAGCCUGGGUGACAGAGUGAGACUCCAUCUCAAAAAAAGAUUAAAAAAUAAAAAUAAGAUAUAAUUCACAUACCGUAAAAUUCACCUCUUUGAAGUGUACAAUCAGUGGUUUUUAGUGUAUUCAGAGUCGUGCAACCAUCAUCAACAUCUAAUUUCAGAACAUUUUCACCAUCCCAAAAAGAAACCCUAUACUCAAGAAGCAGCCACUCCCCAUUCCUCUUUCCUCCCAGGCCCUGGCAACGCACCAGCCUGUUUUCUGCCUCUAUGGAUUUCCCUAUUCUGGGCAUUUCAAAUAAAGUGGUGGUCUCUUGUGAUUGGCUUUUCACUUAAUGUUUCAAGGUUCGUCUAUAUUGUAGCAUAGAUCAGCACCUUGUUCCUUUUUAUUUUUGAGACACAGUCUCGCUCUGUCGCUCAGGCUGGAGUGCAAUGGUGAAAUCUCUGCUCAUUGCAAGCUCUGCCUCCCAAGUUCAAGCGAUACUUGUGCCUCAGCCUCUGGAGUAGCUGGGAUUACAGGCGUGGACCACCACGCCCGGCUAUUUUUGCUCGUUUUUAGUAGAGAUGGAGUUUCGUCAUGUUGGCCAGGCUGGUCUUAAACUCCUGACUUCAAGUGAUCGGCCCGCCUCAGCCUCCCAAAAUGCUGGGAUUACAGGGCGGCAUGAGCCACCACACCCGGCCUUUAUCUGUCUGUCUGUCUGUCUGUCUAUCUAUCUAUCUAAUCUAUCUAUUUUUGAGACAGAGUCUCCCUCUGUCCCCCAGGCUGAAGUGCAAUGGCACAAUCUCAUCUCACUGCAACCUCUGCCUCCUGGGUUCAAGUGAUUCUCCUGCCUCAGUCUCCCAACUAGCUAGGAUUACGGGCGCCCACCACCACCCCCAGCUGAUUUUUGUAUUUUGAGUAGAGAUGGGGUUUCACCAUAUUGCCCAGGCUGCUCUCCAACUCCUGGCCUCAAGCAACCCGCCUGCCUUGGCCUCCCAAAGUGCUGUGAUUACAGGCAUGAGCCACCGUGCCCAGCUUUUUUUUUUUUUUUUUUUUUUGAGACAGAGUCCUGCUCUGUCACCCAUUUUGGAGUGCAGUGGCAUGAUCUCAGCUCACUGCAACCUCCACCUCCCAGGUUCAAACGAUUCUUCUGCCUCAGCCUCCCGCGUAGCUGGGACUACAGGCGUGCAUCACCACGCCCAGCUAAUUUUUGUAUUUUUAGUAGAGACAGGGUUUCACCGUAUUGGCCGGGCUGGUGUCCGACUCCUGACCUCAGGUGAUCCGCUUGCCUUGGCCUCCCAAAGUGCUGGGAUUACAGGUGUGAGCCACUGCGCCCGGCCUAUUUUUUUUAUUAAAAAAAAAAAAAGAGUAUGGAUAAGGCACUCGCGCUGUGCCUGGUACCUCUCACCUCUCUGGUUGGUGCUUAUGCAUCCCUGAGGUGCCUGUGCAAAGGCAGGCGGACACCCAGGCCCGUGGAGGGGGCAGCAGCCCUGCGACAUUCCCUGCCCCCAAGCAGCAGGAGGCUCAUUUAUCCAUUUAUCAGGGAAGCUUCCUGUGCCUCAGCUUUCCCAAGGUGGGGAAGGGUGAAGUCGAGGCCAGGCCUCUGCGGUUGGGACACCCCGAGGGAUCUCCCUGUCCUCCUCCUCGGUUCUCCAGGCCCCACUCUGCCACUGCCCCAUCUCCCCACCUAGAGCUUCCUGCAGAGCCGGGCAGAGCCGGGUGCCUUCUCUGCUGGUUGCCUGGGCGCCUGUGCCCCUUCCCUAGAUCUGCAGUAGGGAACUGCUUCCCGGUGGCCUAAGGGCUUGGACGCUGGCCAUGACCAUGGACACCCCCACCACCCUGAGAGGGUGCCAUACCCCAGCCCGAGGCUGGAGGGCCAGCUGUACGGCAGGGCCAUGGAAGGGAGGACCAGGCAGCCUCCUGUGGCUCCUGCCAGGGAAACCCUCUCUGCUCGCUGCUGCUCAGCCUUUCCCAGCCCUGCCCCUCUCGUCUUGCUUCUCACAUUUCAGCCUCUGAGUUACUGGCACCACUGUCUGUUGCUGCUGUUGCUGCUGCUGCUGCUGAAGCCGGCACCAGCCAGACAUUAACCCCUGAUGCGCUGGCGGCCGCAGCUGCACAGCAGGAAAGGGGCACCAGGGGCUCAAGCUCUGGCGGGCUUGAGGGAGGAGAGAGCAAUCCCAGAGCCGGUCCCUUUGCUGCCCCCGGUCCCCACUCCACAGUGCUUACUGCGCUUGCUUCUUCCUUGUCUGCACAGACUUGAAGCCAAAACCCUUUCUGACCCCUACGAGUUGCUCCUUCCUCUGACAGUCUGGCUCUGACCAUCAGCCCACAGGAAGGGGCUACAUUUCACCUGGUAGCUGACCUUGUCGUUUCAUGCAUGGCCAUGUUUUCUCCCUCCGUAUGCCUUGUCAUGCCCAGCGGGACCCUCCUCUUGUACCCGGAUUUACCUGGCCACGGUUGAGCCACCAGGACCAGGUAAGCUCUUGAGUUUUGAGGCCAACAGGAAGCCAUUCUCCAGGGCAGCCACGGGGGGAUCUGGAGGAGCCUGAAAGAAGUGCAGGCCCUGGUAGUGGCUGGCUGUGAUGGGCUUGGCCAAGCCCCUUGGGCGUGAUCAUAGGACUCAGGGCACCAUGGUGAGGAUGAAACUAGGAGUGCAGGUGGGGCGCGGCGGCUCACGCCUGUAAUCCCAGCACUUAGGGAGGCCGAGGCGGGCAGAUCACCUGAGGUCAGGACUUCAAGACCAGCCUGGCCAACAUAGUUAAACUCUGUCUCUACAAAAAUACAAAAAUUAGCAGGGCAUGAUGGCUGGUGCCUAUAAUCCCAGCUACUCGGGAAGCUGAGGUGGGAGAAUUGCUUGAGCCUGGAAGGCUGCGGUUGCAGUGAGCCAAGAUCGCACCAUUACACUCUAGCCUGGGUGACAGAGUGAGACUCCCUCUCAAAAAAGAAAAGAAGGAAGGAAGGAAAGAAAAUAACUAGGAGGCUGGGCGCGGUGGCUCACGCCUGUAAUCCCAGCACUUUGGGAGGCCGAGGCAGGUGGAUCACGAGGUCAGGAGAUCGAGACCAUCCUGGCCAACACGGUGAAGCCCCGUCUCUACUAAAAAUACAAAAAAAAAAUUAGCCGGGCGUGGUGGCAGGUGCCUGUAGUCCCAGCUACUCGGGAGGCUGAGGCAGGAGAAUGUCGUGAACCCAGGAGGCAGAGCUUGCAGUGAGCCGACAGAGCGAGACUCCGUCUCAAAAAAAAAAAAAAAAAAAAAAAAAGAAACUAGGAGUGCGAAGAAAGCCCCCACAGCAGCACUGGCCUGCGCUGGUGAUGAUCUAUGGCUCCCGCCCCCGGACCCACACUGGGGCUUGGAGCCUGCCCCUCCCCAGGGAGAGCUGGCCCUGUUUCCUGGCUGCCUCUCCCAGCUGGAAACUCACCCAGCUUUGGUUUUCAUGAGCGCAGGCCUCCAGCCCUCCUCUGGCCUGGUCAGCCCCAGCCUUCCCUUUUCCAGUCUCAAGUGGAACAUGACAUUCCACCUUCCGUUCCCAACCUCUGUCUACUCCAUGUGAAGAGAUCCAGUCACCCAGAGGGACACUGGAGAUGGCACCUCCCAGGUGUCCUCAUCCCACAUGCCUCUGCUUCCUGCCUUUCUUCUGAUCCCCAAAUGCAACUUUCUGGUUUCUUUCAUUCUUUUUUUUUUUUUUUUGAGAUUGAGUCUCGCUCUGUCAGAGGCUGGAGUGCAGUGGCGCAGUCCUGGCUCACUGCAACCUCCACCCCCUGGGUUCAAGGGACACUCCUGCCUCAGCCUCCUGAGUAAUUGGGACUACAGGAGUGUGCCACCUCGCCUGGCUAAUUUUUGUAUUUUUAGUAGAGAUGGGGUUUCACCAUGUUGGUCAGGCUGGUCUCAAACUCCUGCACUCAAGUGAUCUGCCCACCUCAGCCUCCCAAAGUGCUGAGAUUACAGGCGUGAGCCACCAUACCCGGCUCUUUGUUUUUUUCAAGAGUCUCACUUGCUUGCCCUGGCUGGAGUGCAGUGACAUGAUCAUGGCUCACUGCAGCCUCAACCUUUUGGCCUCAAGUGAUCCUACCUCCUCAGCCUCCCAAGUAUCUGGGCCAGGUGCACCACCAACACACCCAGUUAAUUUUUAAAUUUUUGUAGAGAAGGAGUCUUGCUAUGUUGUCCAGGCUGGUCUCAAACUCCUGGGCUCAAGUGAUCCUCCUACCUCAGUCUCCCGAAGUGCUGGGGUUACAAGUGUGAGCCACGGCCCCUAGCUCCCCUUGAUUUCUUGUGGGCCUCCUUUGACCCUCCACUCUCUCUGGCCACACUGCCUUGGUUCCUUGGCUGGCUCUUUUCUCUUUCUCUCUCUCUCUCUCCUUUCUUUUUUCUUUUUUUGAGAUGGAGUCUCGCCCUGUUGCCCAGGCUGGAGUGCAGUGGCGCAAUUUCGGCUCACUGCAAGCUCCACCUCCUGGGUUCACGCCAUUCUCCUGCCUCAACCUUCUGAGUAGCUGGGACUACAGGUGCCCGCCACCACGCCCGGCUAAUUUUUUGUAUUUUUAGUAGAGAUGGGGUUUCACCAUGUAGCCAGGAUGGUGUCGAUCUCCUGACCUCAUGAUCUGCCUGCCUCAGCCUCCCAAAGUGCUGGGAUUACAGGCGUGAGCCACCGUGUCUGGCCUCUUUCUUUCUUUCUUUCAUCUUUCUUUCUUUUUUUUAAUUUUUGACGUAGUCUCACUCUGUCGCCCAGGCUGCAGUGCAGUGGCACGAUCUCGACUCACUGCAAUCUCUGCCUCCUGGGUUCAAGCGACUCUCCUGCCUCAGCCUUCUGAGUAGCUAGGAUUACAGGGGUACGCCACCAAGCCCAGCUAAUGUUUGUAUUUUUAGCAAAGACAGGGUUUCACUAUGUUGGCCAGGCUGAUCUCGAACUCCUGACCUCAGUUGAUCCACCUGCCUCGGCCUCCCAAAUGCUGGGAUUACAGGUGUCAGCCACAACGCCUGGCCUGAUUUACUCUCAUUUUCUAUUAACCAGAGGCCUCCUGGUGAGAAGGCCCCAGGCUGGGUGUCAGGGGUCUUAGAUCUGGUCUCAUGGUUACAGCUAAUUCUUUGAGGGUCUUCAGAAAUGUCCAUCCUCCAUGUCAACAGGCUCUGCUCUGCUUGAUGAAAUUAUUGUAACUGCCCCAUGGCCUCAUAAUCAAUUGAUAAAGCAGUUUGAUGGCCAUUUCUGUGUAAAGCAGAAACAGUCCAGCCAGCAUGGCUGUGAAUUGAGUGUUUCUAGAGGGAGUGCACUCGGUUGAAGGCCUGGGCACCUGGUUCCUCCUUGUGGACACUGAGAAGCAGAGAGGCACUUCCCUAGGGGAAAAGUCCCUAAAGGGAGCUGAAAUCCUCUUCGAGUGUGGGAGGAGGAAGAGAAAUUGAGUGCUGAAAAGGACAGGGCGGGUGAGCUGAUGGAGGGGAGACGGAGAGGCAGAGGGAGAAGGAGAGGGAGAGGGCUGGCAGGCGCCCAUAGCUGGGGCCAGAGAGAGAGGGUGCAGGGGACUCCAGCCACCUCAAAUAGGGUUGCAGCCAGCCCCAUUUUUGUGUGUUUGUUUGUGUGUCUGUUUGUUUGUUUUUGAGACAAGGUCUCCCUGGGUCACCAAGGCUGGAAUGCAGUGGUGCAAUCAUGACUCACUCCAACCUCAACAUCCUGGGAUCAAGUGAUCCUCUCACCUCAGCUCCCUAAGUAGCUGGGACCACAGCAUGUGCCACCAGGCCCAGCUGAUUUUUUUUUUUUUUUUUGAGAUGGAGUUUCGCUCUUGUUGCCCAAGCUGGAGUGCAAUGGCGCGAUCUCAGCUCACUGCAACCUCCACCUCCUAGGUUCAAGCAAUUCUCCUGCCUCAGCCUCUCGAGUAGCUGAGAUUACAGGCGCGCGCCACCGUGCCUGGUAAAUUUUUUGUAGUAGAAACGGGAUUUUACCAUGUUUGCCAGGCUGGUCUCGAACUCCUGACCUCAGGUGAUCCACCUGCCUUGCCCUCCCAAAAUGUUAGGAUUAGAGGCGUGAGCCACCAUGCUGGCCCUUUUUUUUUUUUUUUUUUUUUUUUUUAAGAUGGAGUUUCUCUCUGUCCCCCAUGCUGGAGUGCAGUGGCAUGAUCUCAGCUCACUGCAGGCUCUGUCUCCCGGGCGCAAGCAAUUCUCAUGCCUCAGCCUCCUGAGGAGCUGGAAAUACAGGUGCCCACCACCAUGCCCAACUAAUUUUUGUAUUUUUAGUAAAGAUGGGGUUUCGCCAUGUUGGCCAGGCUGGUCUCAAACUCCUGACCUCAGGUGAUCCGCCUACCUCGGCCUCCCAAAGUGCUGGGAUUGCAGGAGUGAGCCACUGUGCCCAGCCAAUUAAAAAAAAAAAAUUUUUUUUGAGACGAAAUUUCGCUCUUGUUGCCCAGGCUGGAGUGCAAUGGCAUGAUCUGGACUCACCGCAACCUCCGCCUCGUGGGUUCAAGUCAUUCUUCUGCCUCAGUCUCCCAAAUAGCUGGGAUUACAGGCAUGCGCCACCAUGCCUGGCUAAUUUUGUGUUUUUAGUAGAGAUGGGGUUUCACCAUGUUGGUCAGGCUGGUGUCAAACUCCCGACCUCAGGUGAUCCGCCCACCUUGGCCUCCCAAAGUGCUGCGAUUACAGGCAUGAGCCACCACACCUGGCCUUAAAACAUUUUUUGUAGAGAUGGGGGCUUGCUAUGUUGCCCAGGCUGGUCUUGAACUCGUAGGCUCAAGUGAUCCUCCUGCCUCAGCCUCAUGAGUAGCUGGGACUACAAGUGCACACCAUCACGCCUAGCUAAUUUUUUUUUUUUUUUUUUUUUUUUUUUUUUUUUUUUUGUUUUGAGACUGAGUCUCAUUCUGUUGCCCAGGCUGGAGUACAGUGGCACGAUCUCGGCUCACUGCAACCUCCACCUCCCGGGUUCAAGUGAUUCUCCUGCCUCAGCCUCCUGAGUAGCUGGGAUUACAGCUGCCCACCACCACGCCCGGCAAAUUUUUGUAUUUUUAGUAGAAGUGGGGUUUCACCAUGUUGUCCCGGCUGGCCUCGAAUUUCUGACCUCAAAUGAUCCUUCUGCCUCGGCGUCCCAAAGUGCUGGGAUUACAGGCAUGAGCCACCGCGCACUGCUAAUUUUUUUUAAAGAUGAAAUCUUGCUAUGUUGCCCAGGCUGGUUUGGAACUCCUGAGCUCAAAUGAUCCUCUCAUCUGGCCUCCCAGAGGGCUGGGAUCCCAGGUGUGAGCCAUCGGGAACCAGCUGCAUUUUCAGUGCUUACUCAUGGCCAAAGUGAAUCAGAUCCAACUGAGGAGGAGGAGGCGCGCAUCACAGGUCUCCCUAGACAAGCCAGGCACUGUAGGGAUCUGCAGGGCCUCGGGAUUGUGGGGGGCUGCGGUCAGCCCCUUCACCCCAACACCUACCUGCCUGGGGCUCCCCCACCGUGUUCCUGCUCGGCAUCCACAAAGCAGCGCGUGUGCCGGACGCCCCCUACUGGUCGGGGGAGCCCCAGCCCUGUGAGCCCAGAGAUGUCCCCCUGACUUGGGGAGAGGAGGGCCAGAGGACCGGAAGUGGCUUUGCUCCGAACCCCAGUAGGAGCAUCUGACCCCCGUUCCGCCUUCCUGGGAGCAUCCAGGAUCCUUUCCCAGGCAGGGACUUUUUGCUUCUCAACCUGGCUCCAACGACUGGUGUCCCUGCCCCCGCCACCACCCCAAAGAGGCUAUGGUUCCCCAUAUGCACGGGAGUAUAGCAGGGCCGGAAAGGUCAGGUGCUGCAUCCCCCUGCUCCCAGCAAAUUUCUAUAGCGGAACAAGCCUCGUUAAGACUGAGGACAUAGAUUCCUGCCUGGGUUCCAUCUCCAAUUCUCUGUAUGUUCUCAGGAAAUUCUCCUCCCUUACUCUAUCCUACCUUCAAACCCCCCAUCUGGGGCAGGAGAAUUUUCCUGUGACCCCCAAUGCCCUUUACCCUGGUGUAACCCCCUUUUGAUGAGUGUGGGCAAAACCUACAAAUAUAUCACUUCUGUGGUUAGGAUGCAUGACAUGCUAUGGUUGACCUUGAGGCAGAGAGAUUAUCAAUGAUUCUGACCUAAUCACAUGCACUCUUAAAAAGCAGAGUUGGCCAGGCGCAGUGGCUCACACCUGUAAUCCCAGCACCUUGGGAAGCUGAGGCUGGAAGAUCGCUUGAGUCCAUGAGUUUGAGACAAGCCUGGGCAACAUAGGAAGACCCUAUCUCUACAAAAAAAUUAAGAAAAUUAACACAUAUAGGCCGGGUGCGGUGGCUCACGCCUGUAAUCCUAGCACUUUGGGAGGCCGAGGCAGGUGGAUCACCUGAGGUUGGGAGUUCAAGACCAGCCUGACUAAUAUGGAGAAACCCUGUCUCUACUAAAAAUACAAAAUUAGCCGGGUGUAGGCUGGGCUCUGUGGCUCAUGCCUGUCAUCUCAGCACUUUGGGAGGCUGAGGUGCGCGGAUCACCUGAGGUCAGGAGUUCAAGACCAGCCUGGCCAACAUGGUGAAACCCGUGUCUACUAAAAUGUACAAAAAACUAGCCGGCCGUGGUGGUGCAUGCGUGUAAUCCCAGCUUUUCAGGAGGCUGAGGCAGGAGAAUCACUUGAACCAGGGAGGUGGAGAUUGCAGUGAGCCGAGAUUGCACCAUUGCAUUCCAGACUGGGCGACAAGAGCAAAGUUCUGUCUCAAAAAAAAAAAAAAAUGCUGAAUAAUAUUAGGCCGGGCGCAGUAGCUCACGACUGUAAUCCCAUCACUUUGGGAGGCUGAGGCAGGUGGAUCACGAGGUCAGGAGAUUGAGACCAUUCCUGGCUAACACAGUGAAACGCUGUCUCUAGCCAGGCGCGGUGGCUCACACCUGUAAUCCCAGCACUUUGGGAGGCCGAGGCGGGGAGAUCAAGAGGUCAGGAGAUUGAGACCAUUCUGGCUAACAUGGUGAAACCCCAUCUCUACUAAAAAAUACAAAAAAUUAGUCGGGCAUGGGGGCAGGCGCCUGUAGUCCCAGAUACUCGCGAGGCUGAGGCAGGAGAAUGGCGUGAGCCCGGGAGGCAGAGCUUGCAGUGAGCUGAGAUCACACCACUGCACUCCAGCCUGGGCGACAGAGCGAGACUCUGUCUCAAAAAAAAAAAAGAAAAGAAAAUUCUAGAAACACCGUGUCUACUAAAAAUACAAAAAAGCCAGGUGUGGUGGCAGAGGCUGAGGCGGGAGGAUCGCUUGAGCCCAGGAAGUUUUGUUUGUUUUGUUUUGUUUUUAGAAGGAGUCUCGUUCUGGAAUGUAGUGGCAGGAUCUCGGCUCACUGCAACCUCCGCCUCCUGGAUUCAAGUGAUUCUUCUACCUCAGCCUCCUGAGUAGCUGAGACUACAGCCGUGUGCUACCUCCCCUGGCGAAUUUUUGUAAUUUUUUAGUAGAGAUGGGGUUUCAUCAUGUUGCCCAGGCUGAUCUCGAACUCUUGACCUCAAGUGAUCCGCCCGCCCCUACCUACCAAAGUGUUGAGAUUACAGGUGUGAACCACUGUGCCCGGCCUGAGCCCAGGAAGUUGACACUGCAGUGAGCCAUGAUUGCACCACUGCGAUCAAACCCCACCCCCCGAAAAAAAAGACCCAAAAACCUAAGUGUAAAAAUGAGAACAACCUAUCCUCACCUCUGCAGCAGCCACCUUUGCCGACAGCUCUUCCUCCUGGCUGCAGUUCUUAUGAUUUCCCAUCUCCAACCAGCAGCUCCCAACCAGCCUGGGAAGGGGUUGGGGGUAGCCUUUGUCCUGAAAACUGCUGUGCUGAUGGCAUGGUCAGAGCAGCUGACACCUCCGAGCCAGUGAGGAAAGAGCCAAGGGAAGGAGUCCUGAAUCCUCUGCUCUAAGGAAUCCCCCAUGCUUGCUUUCUGGGGCUUCCUGGACUUGUGGCCAUCUUUAGGGUCAGUCAAUAAAGUUGCUUUUUUUUUUUUUUGAGAUGGAGUCUCGCUUUGUCACUCAGGCUGGAAUGCAGUGGCACAAUCUCGGCUCACUGCAACCUCCACCUCCCGGGUUCAAACGAUUCUCCUGCCUCAGCCUCCCAAGUAGCUGGGACUACAGGCGUGCGCCACCAUGCCCGACUAAUUUUUGUAUUUUUAGUAAAGAUGAAGUUUCACCAGUUGGCCAGGCCGGUCUCGAACUCCUGACCUCAGGUGAUCCACCUGCCUCAGCCUCCCACAGUGCUGGGAUUACAAGCGUGAGCCACUGCCCCUGGCCUUCCCUUUUUUUUUUUUUAAUUAUUUUAUUUUAUUUUGUUUUGAAGUAUUUCACUCUGUUGCCCAGGCUGCCUUUGCAAUCCUGGACUUGGGGGAUUUUUCUGUCUCAGCCUCUGGAGUAGCUGAAAUUACAGAUGUGUGCCACCACACUCUGCUGAUUACUUUCUUUUUUUACAGAGACCCACCUUUUAUUUGUAUUUAUUUAUUUAUUUAUUUAUUUGAGACAUGGUCUUGCUCUGUUGCUCAGGUUGAAGUGCAGUGGCAUGAUCACGACUCACUGCAGCCUUAACUCCUAGGCUCAAGCAAUCCUCCCGCCUCAGCCUCCUGAGUAGCCAGGACUUCAGACAUAAGCCACUGUGACCGGCCAAGAGACCCACCUUUUACAGGGCAAGUGGUUUGUUUGCCAAUUUUCACUGCCCCACCACAUGAGGGUGUUUCGAGUGGGAAGCAGGUGCACCCUGUGUGAACAGCAAAGCCCAGCGCAUGCCUGCUGCCUCCCACCUGCUGCCACGUAGAGCUGGGAAGGGGAAAGGCUGAGCCCCACCUCCGACCUUCCCUACAUAUCAGGAAAUCUUGUCGUUCUCCAAGGUCAGCUCAGACGCCUCUGGCCACUGCCGCCCAUGGCAACUUGGUGCCAGGGAUGACAGCAACCAACACUCAUUGAUGCCGUGACAUGCCAGGCUGUCACCAGCUUUUCACAACAGCCCUGCCAGGGAGAUGCUGUGUGGCUUUCAUUUUGCAGAUGAGAGAGCAGAGUCAGGUUAGUAGGGUUGGGGUUCAGGCAGGACCUGGAUUCUGUACCACACUUCGUGGCUGCUAGUGGUUUCUGGAAGUCUGUUGUCUGAAGAGCAGGGAGUGUGUGUAGACAGAGACAGGUCUGAGGGCUGUGCCGUGGGCAUGUCCUAGACGCAAAGCAAAAAAAGAAUUUCAAGAAGGUCAGAUGCAGUGAAGGCAGAAAACAGAGACCCAGAUGUAGCAUCCUGGAGGUCCUCGUGACUUUGAAAAGAGAAGGGUUUGUGUGUGUGUGUGUGUGUGUGUGUGUGUGUGUGUGUGUGUGUGUUUUAUUAUUUAUUUAUUUAUUUUUGAGACAGUCUCACAGUUGCCCAGGCUGGAGUGCAGUGGUGCGAUCUCGGCUCAGGUGCGAUCUGUUGCCCAGGUUCAAGCGAUUCUCCUGCCUCAGCCUCCUGAGUAGCUGGGAUUACAGGUGCCUGCCCUUGCGCCUGGCUAAUUUUUGUAGUUUUAGCAGAGAUGGGGGUUUCACCAUCUUGGCCAGGCUGGUUUUGAACUCCUGACCUCGUGAUCCACCUGCCUUGGCCUCCCAAAGUGCUGGGACUACAGGCAUGAGCCACCGCGCCCAGCCAUAUGUGUUUUAUUUUGGAGACAGGGUCUCACUCUGCGGUCUAGGCUGGAGUGCAGUGGUGCACUCUUGGCUCAAAGCAGCCUCAACCUCUUAGAAUCAAGUGAUCCUCCCUCCUCAGCCUCCAGAGUAGUAGCUGGGACCAAAGAUGUGCAUCACCACACCUGGCUAAUAUUUUAAUUAUUUAUAAAGAUGAAGUCUUGCUAUGUUGCCCGGCUGGUCUGGAACUCCUGGGCUCAAGCCAUCCUCCUGCCUCCUGCUUUGACCUCCCAAAGUGCUAGGAUUACAGAAGUGAGUCACUGCCCCCAUGCAGUCAUGGGGGUGUGAUGGAGUGAGCAGGAGGGAAGGGGAGAGAGUGAGUGUGAACAUCCAUUUCAAGGAGUUUUGCUGUUAGAUUCCAGAGCUGGGCUGGGCGUGGUGGCACAUACCUGUAGUCCCAGCUACAAAGGAGGCUGAGGCAAGAGAAUGGCUUGAACCUGGGAGGUGGAGGUUGAAGUGAGUGGAGAUCAUGCCACUGCACUCCAGCUUGGGUGACAGAGUGAGACUGUCUCAAAACCAAGAAAAGAGAGCAGAGCUAAGGGGAUCUAGGGUCAGUCCGUUGGUUUGAAAGGAGAAUAGUAACAGCUUGUUAGUAAUGGGUAUGAUCCAAAAGACGGUGUGCACUGAAGACAAAGGAGAGAGGACAGUUUCUGGAGUGACGGCUCUGAGUUGUGCAAGUAGAAGGGUCUUCUGUGCAUGAACAGCAUGGAUGCUCAUCCAGAGACACUGGCCGAUGGCAGUUCCCAGGCACAGAGAGGGAGGCAGUGGCGGGCAUGGCAGCCUGUGGAAGGUCUCUUCUAAUUGCUUCCAUUUCCCUCAGAGGAACGGGAAGUGAGCUACAAGCAAGGAGGAGGUGCUAGAGGGCUUGAGGGGAGAGGAGAAGGAAGGGUAGGAAGAAGGGGCCAGGGCAACAGGAUGCAGUCACAGCAACCCCCAGACCCACUUGAGGGUAUGGAUCAGGCACUUAAAAAUAAGAGCAGUGGCAGGCUGGGCGCGAUGGCUCAUGCGUGUAAUCCCAGCACUUUGGGAGGCCAAGGCGGGCGGAUCACCUGAGGUCUGGAGUUCGAGGCCAGGCUGACCAACAUGAAGAUACCCCAUCUCUACUAAAAAUACAAAAUUAGCUGGGCAUGGUGGUGGGCACCUGUAAUCCCAGCUACUUGGGAGGCUGAGGUAGGAGAAUCACUUGAACCCAGGAGGCAGAGGUUGCGGUGAGCUGAGAUUGUGCCGUUGCACUCCAGCCUGGGCAAUAAGAGCAGAGCUCUGUCUCAAAAAAAGGACCUGGUGGAGGCCGGGCACGGUGGCUCAUGCCUGUAAUCCCAGCACUUUGGGAGGCUGAGAUGGGUGGAUCACAAGGUCAGGAGAUUGAGACCAUCCUGGCUAACAUGGUGAAACCCUGUCUAUACUAAAAAUACAAAAAAUUAGCCGGGCACGGUGGCUGGCACCUGUAGUCCCCAGCUACUCUGGAGGCUGAGGCAGGAGAAUGGCGUGAACCCGGGAGGCGGAGCUUGCAGUGAGCAGAGAGAGCGCCACUGCCGUCUGGCCUGGGCGAAAGAGAGAGACUCCGUCUCAAAAAAAAAAAAAAAAAAAAAAAAGAGGGUCUGGUGCAGUGGCUCACGCCUGUAAUCCCAGUGCUUUGGGAGGCUGAGGCGUGAGGAUUGCUUGAGCCCAGGAGGCUACAAUAAGCCGUGCACCACUGCAUUCCAGCCUGAGUGAGAGUGAGACCCUGUCUCAAAAAAAAAAAAAACAAAAAUCCAAAAACCCGUCACCUAGCGGGUGACUUUGACUUUGACAACAUCCCUAAUACAACUGUUGCUGACUGGAGGGAAAAAAUAAAAACAAACCAAUCAGCAAGGUUGUGGGAUUUCCUCUUUCUAGCCAUAUUUGGCUGUUUCUUUCAGGUAGGGAGAGGGGAAGAGCAGGCAGUGUGAGAUGAACUGGGUCACAGCUGCAGGAGUUAGCAGGAUCAAUGGGGUCAGCCGACUAUGGCCCACUGCAUUUUUUGUUUGUUUGUUUUGAGAGGGAGUUUUGCUCUUGUCACCCAGGCUGGAGUGCAAUGGUGUGAUCUCAGCUCACCACAACUUCUGCCUCCCAGGUUGAAGCCAUUCUCCUGCCUCAGCCCCCUCAGUAGUUGGGAUUACAGGCGCCCACCACCACAACCAGCUAGUUUUUGUAUUUUGAAUACAGACAGGGUUUCACCAUUUGGCCAGGCUGGUCUCGAACUUCUGACCUCAGGUGAUCUGACCUCCUCAAGCCUCCCAAAGUGCUGGGAUUACAGGCAUGAGCCACUGAGCCUGGCCCAGCCCACUGCUUUUAUAACAAACCUUUUUCUAUUGUGGUAAAAUAUACAUAACAAAGACUUACUGUUUAACCAGUUAUUUAUUUGUUUGUUUAUUUGUUUUUGUAGAGACGGGGUCUCACCAUGUUGCCCGGGACAGUCUUGAACUCUUUUUUUUUUUUUUUUUAAGUAGUCUCGCUCUCUUGCCCAGGCUGGAGUGCAAUGGUGUGAUCUCUGCUCACUGCAACCUCUGCCUCCCAGGUUCAAAUGAUUCUCCCUCCUCAGCCUCCUGAAUAGCUGGGAUUACAGGCACAGGCCACCACACCUGGCUAAUUUUUGUAGUUUUGUAGAGAUAGGGUUUCACCAUAUUGGCCAGGCUGAUCUUGAACUCCUAACCUCAGGUGAUCUGCCUGCCUUGGCCUCCCAAAGUGCUGGGAUUACAGGCAUGAGCCACCUCUCCCAGCUGGUGUUGAACUCUUGGUGGGUGAACAAGUGAGCCAGCCAGCCAAGCUUCAUCUGUAUCUACAGCCACUCCACAUGGCUAGCGGUACUGCCUGAGUUCCGCCUCCUGCCAGAUCAGCGGUGGCAUUAGAUUCUCAUAGGAGUGCAACCUUAUUGUGAAUGAACUGUGGGUGUGCGGGAUCUAGAUUGAGUGCUUCUUAUGAGAAUCUAAUGCCUGAUGAUCUGUCACUAUCUCCCAUCACCCCCAGAUGGGACUGUCUAGUUGCAGGAAAACAAACUCAGGGCUCCCAUUGAGUCUACAUUAUGGUGAGUUGCAUAGUUAUUUUAUUAUAUAUUAUAGUGUAAUAAUAGAAAUAAGGUAUGCAAUAAAUGUAAUGCUGUAGUAGGUGUCAGUGCUUCAUUCUGUCUUAUGGCUGAAUAAUAUUCCACUGUAUGGACAGACCACAUUUAGUUUAUCCAUUCAUCAGUUGAUAGAUACUAGGUUGCUUCCAUGUUUUGGCUCGUAUGAAUAAUGCUGCUGUGGACAUGGGUGUACCAUGAUCUGUUUGAGUCCCUGUUUUCAUUCUCUUGGAUGUUUACCUAGGAGUGGAAUUGCUGGGGCCUAUGAUAACUACUGCCUGUUGCAUGGCUCACAAACCAAGAAUGGUGUGGUAGACAGAAUAAUGGCCCCCCCAAUGAAGAUCAUGCCCCAUCCCCAGAACCUAUCAAUAGUUACCUUAUGUGGCAAAAGGGACUCUGCAGUUGUGAUUACGUUAAGGAUUUUGAGAUGGGGAGAUUAUUCUGCAUUAUCUGGGUGGGCCCAAGGUCAUCAAGAGAGGGAGAUGAAAGGGUGAGAGAGAUGGGAUGGCAGAAGCAGAGACUGAGAAGUGCACUUUGAAGAUGGAGGAAGGGGCCACAAGCCAAGGAAUGUGAGUGGCAUCUACAAGUUGGAAAAGGGAAGGAAACGGAUUCUUCCCUAGAACUUUAGGAGAAAUACAACCCUGCUUACACCCUGAAUUUAGCCAAACAUAACCCAUCUGGACUUCUGACCUUCAGAGAAUAAAUUUGUGUUGUUUUUUAAAAUUAUACACACACACACACACACACACACACACACACACACACACACACAGACAUAUAUUUGUGGAGAUGGAAUUUCCCUAUGUUGUUGCCCAGGCUGGUCUCCAACUGCUGGCCUCAAGUGAUCCUCCUGCAUCAGCCUCCCAAAGUGCUGAGAUUACAGGCAUGAGCCAUGAUUCCUGGUCAAAUUUAUGUUGUUUUAUGCCACUAAGCUUGUAGUAACUUGUUACGGAGGCCAUAGAACUUUUACAUUUUCAAAUGGUUGGAAAGCGAUCAAAUGAUAUUUUGUGGCACAUGAAAUUAUACGACAUUCCAUUUGUGUCCAUAAGCAAAGUGUUAUUGGCACCCAGAGAUGCCCAUUCAUUCAUAUACCAUCUAGGACUGCUUUCCAGCCGGAGGGACAAUAGAGUGCUUGCAGGAGGCCGUGUGGUCUGCAAAGCCUAAAAUAUUUACUAUCUGGUACUUUAGGGAAAAAACCUUGCUGACUCCUAAUAUAUUUAUUCAUUUUGUUGUUGUUGUUUGUUUUUUGAGACGGAGUCUUGCUCUGUCGCUAGGCUGGAGUGCAGUGGCAUGAUCUCGGCUCACUGCAACCUCUGCUUCCCAGGUUCAAGCGAUUCUCCUGCCUCGGCUUCCUGGGUAGCUGGGACUACAGGCACACAGCACCAUGCCCAGCUAAUUUUUUGUAUUUUAGUAGAGAUGGGGUUUCACCAUGUUGGCCAGGAUGGUUUCAAUCUCCUGAACUCAUGAUCCACCUGCCUCAGCCUCCCAAAGUGCUGGGAUUACAGGCAUGAGCCACGGCACCCGGCCUGUUUGUUUGUUUUUGAGAUGCUUCGUCACCCAGGCUGGAGUGCAGUGGCGCAAUCUCGGCUCACAGCAGCCUCUGCCUCCCAGGUUCAAGGGAUUCUCAUACCUCACUCUCCCGAGUAGCUGGGAUUACAGGUGCCUGCCAUCAUGCCUGGCUAAUUUUUGUAUUUCUAGUAGAGGUAGGGUUUCCCCAUGUUGGCCAGGCUGGUCUCAAACUCCUGACUUCAAGUGAUCCAUCUGCCUUGGCCUCCCAAAGUGCUGAGAUUACAGGCAUGCGCCACUGCUACCGGCCUGAUUUUUUUUUUUUUUUUUUUGAGGCGGAGUCUGGCUCUCCCAGGCUGGAGUGCAGUGGCACAAUCUCGGCUCACUACAAUCUCCACCUCCCGGGUUCAAGCGAUUCUCCUGCCUCAGCCUCCUAAGUAGCUGGGACUACAGGCAUGUGCCACCAUGCCUAGAUUUUUUUUUUUUUGUCCUUUUAGUAGAGAUUGGGUUUCACUAUGUUGGUCAGGCUGGUCUUGAACUGCUGACCUCAAAUGAUCCGCCCACCUCGGCCUUCCAAAGUGCUGGGAUUACAGGCAUGAGCCACGGCACCUGGCCUGAUUGAUUAUUUUUAUUUUUUAUUGUAUUUAUUUAUUUUUUGAGACAGAGUCUUACUCUGUCGCCCAGGCUGGAGGGCAGUGGCGCGAUCUUGGCUUACUGCAACCUCCGCCUCCUGGGUUCAAGAGAUUCUCCUGCCUCAGCCUCCUGCGUAGCUGGGAUUAUAGGCACCCGCCACCACGCCCGGCUAUUUUUUUAUUUUAGUAGAGAUAGGGUUUCGUCAUGUUGGCCAUGGUGGUCUUGAACUCCUGACCUCAGGUGAUCCACUCACCUCAGCCUUCCAAAGUGCUGGGAUCACAGGCGUGAGCCACCACGCCCGGCCUAGUCAAGGCAAUUCUGUAAGGGAGGAGCAGGAGGUAGACACGCUUGCUCCAGUUGCCAUUCAUUCAUUCACUCAUUUUUUCAGGCACCGGAGAGGUCAUUCAGUGCAUUUGGUUUUGUGGCCCUAUGGCAUAUAUUGAUUGUCUCCAAAUGUCAUCAUUUCCUGAGCACAGCUCCUGUCACUGCAGUGUGGUCGGCAGCUUCUCGAGGGCAGCAUUUCUGGUUUGAUUUCCGUGUGGCCAAGUAGGAUAUGUGAACACAGAAAGAAGUAGCCAGGACUGAUUGGACAGUCCCUCUCCAGGGCUGUGCAAAUGAUGCCCAUGUUCCUUGGGGACACAGAGUGGGUCCCGGAAGGCUGACGGGCAGCCCUGAUUCUGCUGCCUUCUGCCUGGGCUAGAGUGAGACCUCAGUAGCUGCGGGAAUCACAAGCAGCAGGGUGGGGCUAGGGUAAUACAAGGGAGGCCCUUGCUUGGGGAACAAAAGUUAAUGGGAGCACCAAACCCCUCAGUAAUCAAGUUUCACAAAACUUUAAUGCAAUACUUUAGAGAAAUCAAAACUGGCCAGGAACAGUGGCUCACACCUAUAAUCCCGGCACUUUGGGAGGCCGAAGCAGGAGGAUGGCUUGAGUCCAAGAGUUUAAGACCAGCCUGGACAACAUAGUGAGACCCUGUCUCUACAAAAAAUUUUAAAAAUUGCCAGGCAUGGUGGUGGCAUGCCUGUAGUCCCAGGUACUUGAGAGGCUGAGUUGGGAGGAUCACAUGGGCCUAGGAGUUCAAGGCCUGCAAAGAGCUAUUGUAUCACCACUGUACUCCUCCUGCCUGGGCAACAGAGUGAGACCCUGUCUCAAGAAAAAAUUGAAAUUAAUGCCAAAAAUUUACAAUGACCAAAAUAUCUGAAUUACAAAUUAAAAACACAUUUAUUGAUUUAUAAUAAAUCAGUAUUA
rnacentral:lncRNA from 1 species